GUUCUCUUAUGAGGCCGGUCAUCGGAAUGGGUACAAUUUAAACCCUUUAACGAGUAUCUAUGAGAGGGCAAGUCUGGUGCCAGCAGCCGCGGUAAUUCCAGCUCUCAAAGUGCAUAGAAUUAUUGCUGCGGUUAAAAAGCUCGUAGUUGGAUCUGUGCCAUAGGACGUGGUCCACCUUCGGGUGCGUACUACGCUCCUAGGCUUUUUGCUGGUUUUCCCGUCGUAGCCUUCACUGGUUGCGGCGGGUGGCUGGCGAGUUUACUUUGAGAAAAUCAGAGUGCUCAAUACAGGCGUAUCGCUUGAAUGAUUGUGCAUGGAAUAAUAGAAAAGGAUUUCGGUCCUCUUUUAUUGGUUUUGUGGACUGAGAUAAUGGUUAACAGGGACAAACGGGGGCAUUCGUAUCUCUGCGUGAGAGGUGAAAUUCUUGGACCGUAGAGAGACGCCCUACUGCGAAAGCAUUUGCCAAAUGUCUUCAUUAAUCAAGAACGAAAGUCAGAGGUUCGAAGGCGAUCAGAUACCGCCCUAGUUCUGACCGUAAACGAUGCCAACUAGCGAUCCGCCGGUGGAUUUUUAGCCCUGGUGGGUAGCUUCCCGGAAACGAAAGUCUUCCGGUUCCGGGGGAAGUAUGGUUGCAAAGCUGAAACUUAAAGGAAUUGACGGAAGGGCACCACCAGGAGUGGAGCCUGCGGCUUAAUUUGACACAACACGGGGAAACUCACCCGGCCCGGACACCGUAAGGAUUGACAGAUUGAUAGCUCUUUCAUGAUUCGGUGGUUGGUGGUGCAUGGCCGUUCUUAGUUCGUGGAUCGAUUUGUCUGGUUUAUUCCGAUAACGAGCGAGACUCUAGCCUACUAAAUAGUAACGAGAUUAUCAAUGUCUCAGUUGCUUCUUAGAGGGAUUUUCGGUGUUUAGCCGCACGAGAUUGAGCAAUAACAGGUCUGUGAUCCCCUUAGAUGUCCGGGGCUGCACGCGCGCUACACUGGCGAAAUCAGCGUGCUGUAUCCAUUCUCGAAAGGGAUUGGUAAACCCAUGAAAAUUUGCCGUGCUUGGGAUCGGAAAUUGCAAUUAUUUUCCGUGAACGAGGAAUUCCAAGUAAGUGCGAGUCAUCAACUCGCUCUGAUUACGUCCCUGCCCUUUGUACACACCGCCCGUCGCUGCCCGGGACUGAGCCAUUUCGAGAAGAUCAGGGACUGGUGGACUGUGGCCUCUUCGGAGGUCCGGUUCGCUGGAAACUGAUUUGAUCGCAGUGGCUUGAACCGGGCAAAAGUCGUAACAAGGUAGCCGUAGGUGAACCUGCGGCUG
rnacentral:rRNA from 1 species